ACGGGUGAGUAACGCGUGGAUAACCUGCCUCACACAGGGGGAUAGCAGUUGGAAACGACUGGUAAUCCCGCAUAAGCGCACAGCUUCGCAUGAAGCGGUGUGAAAAACUCCGGUGGUGUGAGAUGGACCCGCGUCUGAUUAGGUAGUUGGUGAGGUAACGGCCCACCAAGCCGACGAUCAGUAGCCGACCUGAGAGGGUGACCGGCCACAUUGGGACUGAGACACGGCCCAAACUCC
rnacentral:rRNA from 1 species